AACCCUAAGUCCAUUUAAUUCAGCUUUCACUGCCAUUUUGUGUUGUCGCUUGCUGUAUUUGGUGUCUUUGAUUAAGGUGGAAAAUACAAAUUCAUCGGUAUUGAAUCUGCUGCGCCACUUGUUCAUGAAGGUGACAAGGUCUUCAGAUGGGAUCAGUCUCUGGCGCUCAUCUAUUUGUCCUGGUCUCCGCUGACAUUCAGGGCUGUAGAGAUCAUCUCUAGGUGCUGAUCCACUAUCUGGGCUGGGUACGGACUAUAUCCGGGUACCUGCAGUGACC